UGCAAGAAGCUUUUGCCAAAGCUAAUAAAGCUCUUAUGCUCUCUGAUUUGUCUACCAAUGAAGAUGGUAAUAUUAAGAAGAAGAGUAAAAAAAGUAUUUUUGAAAAAAAAAUAUCUAGUCCUCCAGCAUUUUAUUAACUACCAAAAAGAAAGAUUUUAAAAAAUAAGCCUAAUUUAUUUGAAAUUAGUGAUGAUGAACCAGUAGGUAGUAAACGAUGGUUAUAAUUCUGACAAAGAUCCAGAUUAUUGUCUGCUUCAUUCACUUCAGACUUCAAAUAAUGCUACGAUUCAAAAAAGCACAAGUACUGUUACAUCUGUAUUUGAAGAAGUACAUACUAACAUGCCAUAUAUUAUAUCAUCACUAGGGCUCGGAUUUAUAUGUUAAUACAUAUUUUUAGUGUGACUUGA